rnacentral:rRNA from 1 species
CAAUAGCGUAUAUUAAAGUUGUUGCAGUUAAAAAGCUCGUAGUUGAAUUUUUGCUUGCCGCCGAUGUCGGAACUUCCGUACGUUCGGCGGCGUGCAUCCUUGGGUGGAACCUGUGUGGCAUUAGGUUGUCGUGCAGGGGAUGCUCAUCGUUUACUGUGAAAAAAUUAGAGUGUUCAAAACAGGCUUACGCCGUUGAAUAUAUUAGCAUGGAAUAAUAAGAUAGGACCUUGGUACUAUUUUGUUGGUUUGCGCACCGAGGUAAUGAUUAACAGGGACAGUUGGGGGUAUUCGUAUUCCAUUGUCAGAGGUGAAAUUCUUGGAUUUCUGGAAGACGAACUACUGCGAAAGCAUUUACCAAGGAUGUUUUCAUUAA